CCCGCUGAACUUAAGCAUAUCAAUAAGCGGAGGAAAAGAAACCAACAGGGAUUACCCUAGUAACGGCGAGUGAAGCGGUAACAGCUCAAAUUUAAAAUCUGGCCUUCGGGUCCGAGUUGUAAUUUGUAGAGGAUGUUUCGGACAAGGCUGUGGUUUAAGUUUCUUGGAACAGAACGUCACAGAGGGUGAGAGUCCCGUCUAGAACCAAUGGCCGCGUCCAUGUGAAAUUCCUUCGACGAGUCGAGUUGUUUGGGAAUGCAGCUCAAAAUGGGUGGUAAAUUUCAUCUAAAGCUAAAUAUUGGCCAGAGACCGAUAGCGCACAAGUAGAGUGAUCGAAAGAUGAAAAGUACUUUGAAAAGAGAGUUAAACAGUAUGUGAAAUUGUUGAAAGGGAAGCGCUUACAACCAGACUUGUGUGUAGCGGCUCCCCCAGUCUUCUGACUGGGUUAUUCCGUUAUAUCCAGGCCAGCAUCGAUUUAGGUGGCCAGUUAAAGGCUCCGUGAAUGUAUCUACCUUCGGGUCGACUUAUAGCCCAGAGUGUAAUGUGGCCUACUUGGAUCGAGGAACGCGCUUUUGCUCGGAUGUUGGCGUAAUGGUUGUAAGCGGCCCGUCUUGAAACACGG
rnacentral:rRNA from 1 species